UUCAAACCCCACCCGUUGCACUAUUGUCGUACCCACUCCUGGCACAAGCUUUACGCUUAGUUGGAGGGGAAAGGGCAGUAUUAGUCAUGAUUAGCGGCCAAUAUUAAAAAAAAAAAUGAUUUCAUAACUCCGAUGAAGUGGAACAGACAACUAGGCGAUUAACCUAAAGGCGAGACACAGACAAGAGUCAGACUUCGGGAUACUUUUUAGUCCAACAAACAAAUCCCUUACAAGUUACAACUGCAUCGAAUAACGCACAGGAAUGACUAAAUUGAACUGCUCUUGUCGGAGUAAUGUUUAAAAUACUAUCUUCUUUUGUUCUUUUGAAGACCUUUUUUAAUAAAGAGAAGGGUGAAGGGUGGAGGCGAAAAUAAUGAUUUACCUCUUGUUGGACUUUCCCAAAGAUUAGAUUUUUUUUUGGAGGCUCUGUUAUAACUUAUAUCUGAAUCAUUAGAGUUGUCUUGUUCGUUUCUAGACUCGAUAACCUGCCAGUGCAUUUCAACAUCUAUGGACAUAAUAUCAUCUAGACUGCAAAACAUUAUUUUCGCCCUUGGGACAGGAGUGGACACAAAUGAUUUACAUUUUAAUGGUGUUUUGGAACCCUCAGUGCGCGAGUCUGACUCGUACCUGGCCGGUUUUUAACUAAUUCUGUUCUGCCUUCAUUUUUAAUUUUUUUUUUGAUUUAAUCCUUCACAUCUUCCUUGGGUAAGCUUAUUGUAUCCUUCGUUUAUGAGCUGCGCAGACCGCUAUGUUUCAAUUUCAGUUUGGACUACUUGAUUUGCGUUCACUGUAUAACUGAGAUAUCACCCUU